rnacentral:rRNA from 1 species
AGCUUAGAGAGCUUGCUUUUUAAGCUUAGUGGCGAACGGGUGAGUAACGCGUGAGUAACCUGCCCUAGAGUGGGGGACAACAGUUGGAAACGACUGCUAAUACCGCAUAAGCGCACGGCAUCGCAUGAUGCAGUGUGAAAAACUCCGGUGGUAUAAGAUGGACCCGCGUUGGAUUAGCUAGUUGGUGAGGUAACGGCCCACCAAGGCAACGAUCGGUAGCCGGACUGAGAGGUUGAACGGCCACAUUGGGACUGAGACACGGCCCAGACUCC